rnacentral:lncRNA from 1 species
AAGAGGGGGCAAGGAAGGAAAACAAAGCUGCAAGCACUGAAGAAUAUUAACAAGAGAAUAAGGUUGCCAGAUUUAACAAAUAAAAAUAUAAAACGCCGGCCAGCUUUUCACUGUGCCCACUGGUCACCCCUUGCUGGGCCUCCAGGGGCCUCAGUAAGGCUGGCCGAGGUACCUGCUGCCCUGCCUGGAACCCACCUCCUUAAGAAUCCUGACUGCCCCACAGGAACCAUGGUGAGGACUUGCUUGCCAGCAGCCAUCAAGGUAGCCCGGCUCUGGGAGAGGCAGGGCGCCCCUGUGAAGUCUGAUGUUUGAAAGUGCCGCUCACAGGCCUGGGCCACCUGCCAUUACCAGGAAGACCUUUCCCAUUCUGCAGGCCCAGGCACAUCAUGGGGCUCCUCAGAGAAAUGGCUGAUUCUAGGACUGGGGCAAGAAAUAUACAAGAUAAAUCUACAUAAAGGAAGUACUAAAAAAAAAUCUCCAAAUCCUACAUUAAAGGGACACAGGAGCCAACUGGAAGAGCUCCCAACGGCCAAAGCCAGAACAACUUGAGAAACAAAAUAAAGUAGGGUCGAGUCAUGACCCAUAAUGACAUAGGUGUCCAUGAGUCAGUGCUGACAGAAAUCAGUGACUGAAUAAACUAAGUGGGAAAGAAGAGACAAAUCACCAUUGCAAAAGGAUUCCAAAUAAUUUAUGCAGAUACCCUGCCCUCAAGGAGGGGACCGUGACUCCCCCACUCCUUAGGUGUGGGCUCUGCACCAUCA